CAGCAGCCGCGGGAAUACGUAGGGUGCAAGCGUUAAUCGGAAUUACUGGGCGUAAAGCGUGCGCAGGCGGUUUGUUAAGACAGAUGUGAAAUCCCCGGGCUCAACCUGGGAACUGCAUUUGUGACUGGCAGGCUAGAGUAUGGCAGAGGGUGGUGGAAUUCCGCGUGUAGCAGUGAAAUGCGUAGAUAUGCGGAGGAACACCGAUGGCGAAGGCAGCCCCCUGGGCCAAUACUGACGCUCAUGCACGAAAGCGUGGGGAGCGAACAGGAUUAGAUACCCCUGUAGUCCCUGUCUCUUAUAC
rnacentral:rRNA from 1 species